rnacentral:rRNA from 1 species
UGCCAGCCGCCGCGGUAAUACGUACUGUGCGAACGUUAUUCGGAAUCACUGGGCUUAAAGGGUACGUAGGCGGUCUUGUCGGUCAGAUGUGAAAGCCCAGGGCUCAACCCUGGACGUGCAUUUGAAACAGCAAGACUUGAAUACUGGAGAGGAGAGCGGAAUUCCUGGUGUAGAGGUGAAAUUCGUAGAUAUCAGGAGGAACACCGAUGGCGAAGGCAUCUCUCUGGACCGAUACUGACGCUGAGGCGCGAAGGCGUGGGUAGCGAACGGGAUUAGAUA